GGUCUGGUUUUCAACAUCCUGAAGCAGUGCUUCAUAUGUGUAUGAUAUAUUGGAUAAGAUUUAAAUAGGAACGUAACAAACAUCAAUAUAAUCACAAUACACGUGUGUUUCAGUUCUGAAUGAUAAAGUAGUCUGAACUAUGAAGUUCAAAAUGGGAAUGAAGGUUAAAGAACAUAUGAUAUCAUUGGAGUAAUGUCAUCGAUGCCUGGAUUUCUUCAAGUGUCCUUCCUUUGGUCUCUGGUACCAGCAUUGCAACGAAUACAACAACCGAGCCACAAAAGAAUGCAAACAAGAAGAAUGUUCCUGCUGCAUUCCACUCGAAUAGGAAAUUAAAAGCAUAAGAAACUAUCCAAGAAGUAAAACAGUUGAUCAAUGCCGUAAGACUUCCUGCAGAACCCUUGAUGUUUAUCGGAAGUAUCUCUGACAUGAUGAUCCAGGGUGUACCUCCCAUUCCCACUGUGAAAGAUACAGAAAAGAGCAGUAUGCCAGUGUACACCAUUGAAGAAGUUAGCUCUGCUGAUGAAUGAUAACCCUUGAAAAGAAACCCCAGUGCUACAAGCAAGCACCCUAAACAAGUCCCAGCUGAAGUAACAAGCAUAAGAAGUCGUCUCCCAGCUUUUUCUGUGAGGAUAAUACUUGCGACUGCAAAUGGAAGCUGGAGAACAGCCAUGACUUGAGAUGCGGAGUCUGCUGAACAACCAGCUGCUCUAAAAAUUGAACUGGCAAAAGAAGUUAUUGCAUUGGUCCCUCCUAACUGCACGAGAGCCAUUAGCCCGACUACAAUAAUUAGUGGACGAGCAUAUUUCCAACUGAAUAAAUCCAUAAAUGUGGAUCCUGAGUGUUGCUGAACUGUUUCAGUAAAGUCUUUUAUUUCAGCUGCUUCAGUGGAAAUAUCAGCAUUUUCUCCCCUCAGACGUUGUAGUGAUGCUUCUACCUCCUUCUCCAGACCAAUUUUCGACAACCACCGAGGAGACUCCGGUAUGAAGAAUACACCUAGCACCUGUAUAAAGCUAGGGAUAGCACCUACAAGAGCUAAAGUGCGCCAGCUCAUGUUAUUCCCAAUGUAAUACACCAGUGAGAAGCCAAGAGUCAGCGUACAUGAAGCAGCUGCUACAAAGCCCCCUCGGAUAUUUUUCGGCGUGACCUCUGAAAUGUAUAUAGGUCCCACAUAUAUUUGGAUUCCUGCACCAACUCCCGUCAGCAACCUUCCAGCAUCAAGCCACCAAACUCUCUUUCAACAAGCACAAACUCGUAAGUUGAACCAGAUAAUCAUAUUUGCUUAACACGGUUACAUGGCCUGACUGGAAGAAAUAAAGGGAGGAGGGAAAGGGUGCGCGCGCACACACACAAACGGAAAGAGAGGAGAAAAGUAAUUUCCCUGUGUAUAUGAGGUAAAAUACAUUCUCUGUACCUUGCCAAAGGUUAUUGAACACCAGCCCAUGAUAAAAAAUAAAUCCGAAAGCCACAUUGUAGUUCUCCUGCCAAAAAUAUCAGCCACCUUUCCACUUAUCAGAGCCCCAAUCAUUCCUCCAAAUAUCAUGAUUGAAGCAAAAACUGAGUAUUCUGCUAUAGAGAGUCCCAGGUCAUCCAUGACCCCUGAUUGAGCAGGUGAUGAAUAUCCAGCAGCAAAUCCAUAGGCAAAGUAACCACAGGCAGCAACUGAGGUGCUCAAAACAAGAUUUGUUGUAACAUGGAAUUGCCGACUUGCUUUUCUGAUACUAUUCUCAUCUAACAAACCAUCUUCCAUGCUGCCAGUCAUAGUAUGUUGCUAC
rnacentral:misc_RNA from 1 species